UUUCCGUGGAGAGGAACAAUUCUGA
rnacentral:piRNA from 4 species